GUUGCGGUAAGAAAGUAUGUAAAAGAUGCCGGACUUAAGAUCUGGUAUCGAAGGAUUUCAUGGGUUCGAAUCCCACCCCUCGCA
rnacentral:tRNA from 1 species